CGUAACAAGGUUUCCGUAGGUGAACCUGCGGAAGGAUCAUUAUCGAAAGCACAA
rnacentral:rRNA from 1 species